rnacentral:RNase_P_RNA from 1 species
CCAGCUAGGCAGCCGCUUCAUUAAGUUGGAGAGGAAAGUCCGGGCUCCUAGGGACAGGAUGCUGGGUAACACCCAGGUGCAGUAAUGCAACAGACAGUGCAACAGAAAACAAACCGCCUACGGGUAAGGGUGAAAAGGCAGGGUAAGAGCCUACCGCGCUUCCAGUGAUGGAAGUGGCAUUGUAAACCUCGUCCGGAGCAAGACCAAGUAUGGAAGGUGCCCCGUCUCUGGCAUAACCUUCCGGGUAGGUCGCUUGAACCUGCAGGUAACUGCAGGUCUGGAUAGAUGGCUGCCGUUAUACAGAACCCGGCUUAUUGCU